rnacentral:tRNA from 1 species
UCCCUCGAUCUGGAUUUGAACCAGCGACCUAAGGAUCAACAUUUAAACUCUACAGUCCUCCGCUCUGCCAACUGAAUCAUCGAAGG